UCUUUACAGAUUUUAUUUUUUUAUGUACUUUUAUCUUUUGAAGGUUAAAGUUUAAGGCAUUAUUUUACGAUUCUCAUAUAAAACAAGGGUAUUUCUUUCUACUCUUUUACGUUAAAUGAAUUUGAAUCGCCUGAACGUUAACUUCUAGGACAUAUUACAUUUCAAAAUAGUUACUCUAAGUUACUUUUAUGUAUUUUCUAUUCAGUAAACUAUAUAUAAAUAUUUUACUUCUCAUCUCAUAUUUCUUUGUUUUCUUUUACAUUAGUCAUCAUCAUUUUAGUUUCUUAUUUGCCAUUUACAGUCUUCCAAAUUAAAUAUUUUACUUUUAUAUCAAUUCUUUUUUUUAUAUAUAUUUUUGCACUUGAAUAUAAUAAGUCAUAUUUAUCUCAAUUUAGACAUUUCUUUUCACAUUUAGCUUUAUCAAUGCCUCAAUAUUUAAUGUAAACUAAUUCUUACUUUCUUUC
rnacentral:lncRNA from 1 species